rnacentral:rRNA from 1 species
UUGGAGGGCAAGUCUGGUGCCAGCAGCCGCGGUAAUUCCAGCUCCAAUAGCGUAUAUUAAAGUUGUUGCAGUUAAAAGGCUCGUAGUUGAAUCUCGAGAUCAGUACGCUGGUCGUGCCUUCGGUAUGCACUGGUGUCACUGGUUUCUCCCUUCUGAAGAACCGUCAUGUCAUUAAGUUGGUGUGGCGGGGAAUCAGGACUGUUACUUUGAAAAAAUUAGAGUGUUUAAAGCAGGCUCGCGCUUGAAUACAUUAGCAUGGAAUAAUGAAAUAGGACGUUUGACCCUAUUUUGUUGGUUUCUAGGAUCGACGUAAUGAUUAAUAGGGAUAGUUGGGGGCAUUAGUAUUCAAUUGUCAGAGGUGAAAUUCUUGGAUUUAUUGAAGACUAACUACUGCGAAAGCAUUUGCCAAGGAUGUUUUCAUUAAUCAAGAACGAAAGUUAGGGGAUCGAAGACGAUCAGAUACCGUCGUAGUCUUAACCAUAAACUAUGCCGACUAGGGAUCGGAUGAUGUUAAUUUUUUAAUGACUCAUUCGGCGCCUUACGGGAAACCAAAGUGUUUGGGUUC